rnacentral:rRNA from 1 species
AGUGAACGCUGGCGGCGUGGCUAAGACAUGCAAGUCGAGCGAUAGAUUCCUUCGGGAAUCGAAAAGCGGCAAACGGGUGCGUAACACGUGAGCAACCUGCCCUAAAGUUGGGGAUAGCCCACCGAAAGGUGGAAUAAUACCGAAUGUGGUCCUUCUUCGCAUGAAGAAGGUACUAAAGCUUGUAACGGCGCUUUAGGAGGGGCUCGCGGCCUAUCAGCUUGUUGGUGAGGUAAAGGCUCACCAAGGCUAAGACGGGUAGCUGGUCUGAGAGGAUGAUCAGCCACACUGGAACUGAGAUACGGUCCAGACACCUACGGGAGGCUG